rnacentral:rRNA from 1 species
GAUGAACGCUGGCGGCGUGCCUAAUACAUGCAAGUCGAGCGAACAGACGAGAAGCUUGCUCCUCUGAUGUUAGCGGCGGACGGGUGAGUAACACGUGGAUAACCUACCUAUAAGACUGGGAUAACUUCGGGAAACCGUAGCUAAUACCGGAUAAUAUUUUGAACCGCAUGGUUCAAAAGUGAAAGACGGUUUUGCUGUCACUUAUAGAUGGAUCCGCGCUGCAUUAGCUAGUUGGUAAGGUAACGGCUUACCAAGGCAACGAUGCGUAGCCGACCUGAGAGGGUGAUCGGCCACACUGGAACUGAGACACGGUCCAGACUCCUACGGGAGGCAGCAGUAGGGAAUCUUCCGCAAUGGGCGAAAGCCUGACGGAGCAACGCCGCGUGAGUGAUGAAGGUCUUCGGAUCGUAAAACUCUGUUAUUAGGGAAGAACAAAUGUGUAAGUAACUGUGCACAUCUUGACGGUACCUAAUCAGAAAGCCACGGCUAACUACGUG